GUCAAAUGUAUAAAAAAACUUUUGAAAUGCAGCAUCAUGUCAUGUCUUGCAAAAUACUGUACAAAGGAGGAAAAAUAUUAUUCUAGUCCUUAUUUUAAACCUGUAGAAAGAAGAGCCCCAGAGAAGUCUGUUGCCUGUGGCUUUACAGGGGACUGCACAGGUUACUAGUGACUGAAAAUUUUGGCGUACCCAGCCCAGGACUUACUUCAUGAAAUCACAGGAUUGUCUCAUUAAAACCGUUCUAAACAUUUAUGCUGUUUGCACAAAGGUUGCUCUGGUGUAAGCACGAUCUCUAGAAAAAUGCAGGGAUGCAUGUUUUUAUCAGAGUGAAGCUCAAUGUUUAAAUGAAUUGCACCCAUCUUUUCCCUAAGUUGAAAGCUGCAAAGUACAGGAGGAGACUGGAAUUUGAUGUUAAAAGUCUGGUCAAAGGUUAACUGCUUAAUAUGGAGUCACAUAACACCAUCAACACAGUCUUGCAUGUAAGCUGCUCAAAGAUUCAGAAGAAUCACUGAAGAUGUACACAAAACCAGCCUCUUACUUAUAGACUUUGGGGUGCUUUUCUCUAGAUGCCAUGGACAUUAUGUGCCCCUCUGAUUAGGGAAGCAAUAUAAUAACAGACUAAUUUUAUAAAAAACUCUAUUAGGAGUUCUAUAGCUGUUCCUACUAUUUUUUUUUUCCUGUGGCCACUGCAGUGCAAUAGAAAUACUUGCAAAUACUUUUAGUGCAAGCAUCCUCGUGUGGAUUGACUCAAAAUCCUUCAGUGGCCCAAACUGUAAAAAGAGUCCAGAUACAAAUUUUGAAGGCUGCAGGAUCUAGGUUGUUUAUAGCUGCAAAGGCACAAACUAGCUGUGGGAAAAAUAAAAGGUAGUACUCGCCAACCUUUCCAGACUGAGAGAGCUGCUUUUACUGCUUAAGUAUUUCCCAACCUUGUUUCUUCAUGAUGUUCGUGACAGCUGUUAUUAAUGCGCGCAAGAGAGCCCAGCACCGGCAGAAGGGAGAGUGUCUUCACGCUGUUUUGCAAUGCUGCACGUUUGAAGUUCCUCAGCUGCGCCGGGAGGAAGUGGUUGUUCAGUUCUGCUGCCAUUUCGCGAAGGAUGAAGCUCCAGUAAACUUUCCCUGCGAGAGUCACCUGGAAACCACAGUGAUAAAAACGAGUUUUUGCUCCCUGCCUACAAAAGGAGAUGCCACCAGCAGGAAACAGGAACUUAGAACAAGGAGCGAGAAGGCUUUGACAUUCUGGAGGAGGGGCGCAGAGGCGUGUAGCUGCUGUGUAGGUGCAACGCAACCAAGCCUCAAAACGCUUCACAAAAUAAGUCGCUGCUGGCUCCUCGGGUGAUGAGAUUGUUGUGCUCAUCAGGUUUUUCCGCCGCUGUCGAGCCUCUGCGGGAGCCGCGGCGGCGAGCGCGUUAGGGGAUUCCAUGUCUGGUUACCGAUGGGUGGAUGGGGCGUGGGAGGGGAAAGCCUGCCCGGGCCCCACACCGCCUCCCGGGCUCAGCCAGAGAUGCUUCGAACAGGAUGACUUAGUACACAGAAGCGUCUUUAAAGCAGUUUGGUCUGGCUCCUUUGGCUUGUCUCAGCUCCCCCUCUUUGCCUGGAGGUAGCUCUCAAACACAUCCCACCUGGUUCUCCUUUGCAGACCUGCUCUGCUGCGCAGCACUGCGCUGUGCGUAAGGAGCGAUCGCGCUGGGCUGUUGCAGAGCCCUGCUCUCUGCAGUGAAAUGAAUCCCUGUUUUAC
ensembl:lncRNA